rnacentral:sRNA from 1 species
UGAAGGAUACAGAAACAGAAAAACAGUUCCUGGCCAGGGAGGCGGAGGAAACAAAAAGCAGACUAAUGCAGGCAGCCAGUGAACAUAUCACUCCGCUUCAGGACGCCGUAGAUCUGGAACUCGCAACAGAGGAAGAAGUAACGCAACUGGCGGCCUGGAAAAGGUAUCGGGUGUUGCUAAACCGUAUUGAUACAUCAA